UAAAAUCAUUUUGCAUAGGAAUGUGAUAUAUUCCGACUCAAGACAGUCGGGAUUUUCCCAAACCCUGGUCUUCAGGCAUCACUGGGGCAACCUCUAGGAGCUGGAGGGUUGUGAGACUCCCUGUGAGGGCUGAGAGAUGAUGGGGAACAAGGGUCCUCUGAUGUCUGGGAUGCUCCCACAGAAUGCUCUGGCCAACCAGAACACCGGGGCUCCUAGUCACACGGCAACAGCACCAUCUGCACCCAGCCCAUCUAAAGGCUGAAAGGGCAGGGACAUUUAUUCCCAUCUGUCUCAGGGGCUGCAUAGAGGCAGCAUUAACCCUUUGACUCCUAGGACCCCUCUGUGACCUCAGAGGGGCCUGCUCAGGGAAGCACUGCUCUUGCCCAUCAUGAGAGUUAGCUGUAAACAAACUGGGUUAAGACAGGGAUGGUGGCUGUAUGUCAAGGCACGGGUAAUUUGGUCAUAGGUGAAGGUGACGUUGCCUCAUUUUAGCAGCUGCCUGGAUUGCAGGAAACUCUUUUGCUCUGCAGCUGGCUGGUUUGGGUCCAUGAAGCCUUGAUGCCCAAGGAAUGAGAUAUUUUGAGGGCAGAUAAAAAGCAUCAAAAUCCAGGGCUCCCGUGGUGAAGGCAAGCAGUGAAAACUAUCUUGUUCAUGUCGAGGAGAGCUCUGCUGGAAGGAUAAACGAACUGCCCAGGGGAGGAAGACUGUGGAGGAGCCCGGUGAGAGUGAGUGUGGAGAAGUCCAC